rnacentral:rRNA from 1 species
GGCGAGAGACCGAUAGCGAACAAGUACCGUGAGGGAAAGAUGAAAAGAACUUUGAAAAGAGAGUCAAACAGUACGUGAAAUUGUUGAAAGGGAAACGAUUGAAGCCAGUCGUACCGUCGGGAAUUCAACUUCUUGAGCGCUUGUCGUGGGUGAUGUAGAGCCUCACGGCCUUCGUUGCUUUGCGUUAUGGUGCUUUUAGGGUGUACUUUUCCGUAUGGUAGGUCAAUAUCGAUUUUGAUCGUCAUAAAA